rnacentral:rRNA from 1 species
AAUUUUAUAAAAUAGUAUUGAAUUUGAUUUUAUUUCAUUCAAUUGGUUAUUUUAUGGUAACUUUAUAUACUAGUUUUUGCGAGUAUUUAUUUUAAUCUAAAAGAUUAUUUAUUUUAUUAUAUUUGUAGUUUUUAAUAUUGGGAUAAUAAAUAAAUUUAUAUCCAGUUAAUUUAUUUUAGAAUUGUAUAAUUCUGUGCCAGCAUACGCGGUUACACAUUUAAUUCUAAUCAAUUUUUUUGGUUUAUAUUAAUUUUUACAUUUAGGAGUUUUUUUAAAGUUAUUAGGUGAAAUUUUUAAUUUUAAUUAUAUUUUCUUGGUUAAGAUUAUAUUAAAUUUAGAGUUUAAACUAGGAU